GCAAGUUGUUAGAAGCCCGCUCAGUUCAGCCCAUCUGCAGAGAAAAUUCAGUCCAGCUUUUGAAGCCCAAGCUUAGGCCCAAGUUCAGUUAGUUCUAGCCCAAUUUCAGUUCAGCCAUUUUGGGCCCAAGAAGAAGGCCCAAGCCCGCGACCAGCAGCCUGCAGAAGCCCAAGACCUAAACUCAGCCUUGCUGAGUUGUGUUGGGCCCGUUUUAGGCCCGGCCCAAGUUUGCCGACGCCGCCGAAA
rnacentral:lncRNA from 1 species